AAGGCCCUAGUAAAACAAUUACCUAGCUCUGUCAGCGCUAAAUUAUAGACCACACCCUAUGAGCCUUA
rnacentral:tRNA from 1 species